CAAGAUGUAAAUGGCAUAUGCUAGUUAGUGAUUCAUAAUCUGUUGCUUUAAGUUUCGUGCCAACUGGAACUAACGGAGAUCGGUGCUUAAACCAGUUAACGUAAAGAAAUGCUGUAGGAACUGAAAUAUUCCUUUUAAAUUAACAAAAGUGUUCUUCUAGACAGACAAAGUUACAUGAGGACCCAAAUGUAUACCAGAAAAUCAUUUGAUGAACAUGGAAUUAAUAAAAGAAUGUUUUGUUAUAUGGUUUUAGUACUUCGUUGGUGCCAGGUUACAGACAUGUGGCCCUAGAUAGGGUAACUCUACAGAAGAGAAUUUAAUUUGUUUACCUGCUUCACUAGAAAUCCAACAAUUAAGUCAGUGACUCUAUUUUCCAAUAUUCAUUUCCUCCAUUUUUUCAUCUCUUUUUGAUUGAUGGUAUCAUUUCAUUAUUUCAUUUUCAUUGACAUGGAAUUCAUUUUGGCUAAAAUGACUUUUUGACUAUUUGUAUAUACAUAUAUGAUUUUAAAAUCAAUGAACAAUAUUGUUUCUCUAUUUCCAAGAUUAUCCCUCUAUAUUCUCUAAAGUCGAUACUGUGAAACAGUCCAGAUAUGAGUCUAGGAAUGGCAGUAUGAAAUACUGUAAAA
rnacentral:lncRNA from 10 species